rnacentral:rRNA from 1 species
UACGUAGGGUGCGAGCGUUAAUCGGAAUUACUGGGCGUAAAGCGUGCGCAGGCGGCUUUGCACGACAGAUGUGAAAUCCCCGGGCUCAACCUGGGAACUGCAUUUGUGACUGCAAGGCUAGAGUACGGCAGAGGGGGAUGGAAUUCCGCGUGUAGCAGUGAAAUGCGUAGAUAUGCGGAGGAACACCAAUGGCGAAGGCAAUCCCCUGGGCCUGUACUGACGCUCAUGCACGAAAGCGUGGGGAGCAAACAGG